GGAGAGGUGGCUGAGUGGCUGAAAGCCCACGCCUGCUAAGCGUGUAUAGGGUCAAACCUAUCGCGGGUUCGAAUCCCGCCCUCUCCG
rnacentral:tRNA from 1 species